rnacentral:rRNA from 1 species
UACAGAGGUCUCAAGCGUUGUUCGGAUUCAUUGGGCGUAAAGGGUGCGUAGGUGGCGCUGUAAGUCGGGUGUGAAAUCUCGGAGCUUAACUCCGAAACUGCAUUCGAUACUGCCGUGCUUGAGGACUGGAGAGGAGACUGGAAUUUACGGUGUAGCGGUGAAAUGCGUAGAUAUCGUAAGGAAGACCAGUGGCGAAGGCGGGUCUCUGGACAGUUCCUGACGCUGAGGCACGAAGGUCAGGGGAGCAAACGGG